rnacentral:misc_RNA from 2 species
CAUCGUUGCCCCUGUUCCUUGGCCACGUGCUAGGCACCGAGUGGGGCGAAUGUUGGCCUCCCGUGAGCAGUGUCUCACGGUUGGUUGAAAACUGAGUUCGCGGUGGAGGGCGCCGUGAUGGAAGGUGGCUGAGUUAAAGCUCGAGACCGAUCGUGCGUGUCACCCCCACCAGCUUUGCAACUCUGUGACCCAUGGGGGUCUGUUGGCCUCCUAAGACGGGA